rnacentral:rRNA from 1 species
AAACUCAAAUGAUUAAUUAACAAAAUCACUCGCCAGAAUACUACAAGCAACAGCUUAAAAUUCAAAGGACUUGGCGGUGCUUCAAUCCCCUCUAGAGGAGCCUGUUCUACAAUCGAUAAACCCCGAUAAACCUCACCACCCCUUGCUAAUUCAACCUAUAUACCGCCAUCCCCAGCAAACCCUACCAAGGUCACAAAGUAAGCACAAGCAUACAACAUAAAAACGUUAGGUCAAGGUGUAGUCCAUGGAGUGGAAAGAAAUGGGCUACAUUUUCUAAUAACAGAAAAAUAUCUCACCACAACCCCUAUGAAAUCUAGGGGCCAAAGGAGGAUUUAGUAGUAAACCGAGAAUAGAGAGCUCGAUUGAAUAAGGCCAUGAAGC